rnacentral:rRNA from 1 species
UAAACCAAAAGUAUAAGAGGUCCCGCCUGCCCUGUGACUAUAUGUUUAACGGCCGCGGUAUUUUGACCGUGCGAAGGUAGCGCAAUCACUUGUCUUUUAAAUAGGGACCUGUAUGAAUGGCAUAACGAGGGCUUAACUGUCUCCUUUUUCAAGUCAAUGAAAUUGAUCUCCCCGUGCAGAAGCGGGGAUAAACACAUAAGACGAGAAGACCCUGUGGAGCUUCAGACACUAAAGCAGAACAGCAUCAACACCCUGAACAUAGGACACAAAUAAACUGACUCCUGCCCUAAUGUCUUUGGUUGGGGCGACCGCGGAGAAAUAUAAAACCCCCGCAAGGACUGAAUGUACUACAUUCACAACCAAGAGUGACAACUCUAACUAACAGAACUUCUGACCAGUAAGAUCCGGCAAUGCCGAUCAAUGAACCAAGUUACCCCAGGGAUAACAGCGCAAUCUCCUCUUAGAGUCCAUAUCGACGAGGGGGUUUACGACCUCGAUGUUGGAUCAGGACAUCCUAAUGGUGCAGCCGCUAUUAAGGGUUCGUUUGUUCAACGAUUAAAGUCCUACGUGAUCUGAGUUUCAACCGG